GUGAGGGAAAGGCGAAAAGAACCCCGGCGAGGGGAGUGAAAAAGAACCUGAAACCGUGUACGUACAAGCAGUGGGAGCCUCUUUAUGGGGUGACUGCGUACCUUUUGUAUAAUGGGUCAGCGACUUAUAUUCUGUAGCAAGGUUAACCGAAUAGGGGAGCCGAAGGGAAACCGAGUCUUAACUGGGCGUUAAGUUGCAGGGUAUAGACCCGAAACCCGGUGAUCUAGCCAUGGGCAGGUUGAAGGUUGGGUAACACUAACUGGAGGACCGAACCGACUAAUGUUGAAAAAUUAGCGGAUGACUUGUGGCUGGGGGUGAAAGGCCAAUCAAACCGGGAGAUAGCUGGUUCUCCCCGAAAGCUAUUUAGGUAGCGCCUCGUGAAUUCAUCUCCGGGGGUAGAGCACUGUUUCGGCAAGGGGGUCAUCCCGACUUACCAACCCGAUGCAAACUGCGAAUACCGGAGAAUGUUAUCACGGGAGACACACGGCGGGUGCUAACGUCCGUCGUGAAGAGGGAAACAACCCAGACCGCCAGCUAAGGUCCCAAAGUCAUGGUUAAGUGGGAAACGAUGUGGGAAGGCCCAGACAGCCAGGAUGUUGGCUUAGAAGCAGCCAUCAUUUAAAGAAAGCGUAAUAGCUCACUGGUCGAGUCGGCCUGCGCGGAAGAUGUAACGGGGCUAAACCAUGCACCGAAGCUGCGGCAGCGACACUAUGUGUUGUUGGGUAGGGGAGCGUUCUGUAAGCCUGUGAAGGUGGCCUGUGAGGGUUGCUGGAGGUAUCAGAAGUGCGAAUGCUGACAUAAGUAACGAUAAAGCGGGUGAAAAGCCCGCUCGCCGGAAGACCAAGGGUUCCUGUCCAACGUUAAUCGGGGCAGGGUGAGUCGACCCCUAAGGCGAGGCCGAAAGGCGUAGUCGAUGGGAAACAGGUUAAUAUUCCUGUACUUGGUGUUACUGCGAAGGGGGGACGGAGAAGGCUAUGUUGGCCGGGCGACGGUUGUCCCGGUUUAAGCGUGUAGGCUGAUUUUCCAGGCAAAUCCGGAAAAUCAAGGCUGAGGCGUGAUGACGAGGCACUACGGUGCUGAAGCAACAAAUGCCCUGCUUCCAGGAAAAGCCUCUAAGCAUCAGGUAACAUCAAAUCGUACCCCAAACCGACACAGGUGGUCAGGUAGAGAAUACCAAGGCGCUUGAGAGAACUCGGGUGAAGGAACUAGGCAAAAUGGUGCCGUAACUUCGGGAGAAGGCACGCUGAUAUGUAGGUGAAGCGACUUGCUCGUGGAGCUGAAAUCAGUCGAAGAUACCAGCUGGCUGCAACUGUUUAUUAAAAACACAGCACUGUGCAAACACGAAAGUGGACGUAUACGGUGUGACGCCUGCCCGGUGCCGGAAGGUUAAUUGAUGGGGUUAGCGGUAACGCGAAGCUCUUGAUCGAAGCCCCGGUAAACGGCGGCCGUAACUAUAACGGUCCUAAGGUAGCGAAAUUCCUUGUCGGGUAAGUUCCGACCUGCACGAAUGGCGUAAUGAUGGCCAGGCUGUCUCCACCCGAGACUCAGUGAAAUUGAACUCGCUGUGAAGAUGCAGUGUACCCGCGGCAAGACGGAAAGACCCCGUGAACCUUUACUAUAGCUUGACACUGAACAUUGAGCCUUGAUGUGUAGGAUAGGUGGGAGGCUUUGAAGUGUGGACGCCAGUCUGCAUGGAGCCGACCUUGAAAUACCACCCUUUAAUGUUUGAUGUUCUAACGUUGGCCCGUUAUCCGGGUUGCGGACAGUGUCUGGUGGGUAGUUUGACUGGGGCGGUCUCCUCCUAAAGAGUAACGGAGGAGCACGAAG
rnacentral:rRNA from 1 species